AUUGUAAAUUCUAAUUUUCUGCCUUCUUUUCCCCAGCAGAAGACCCUGAACAGGCCAGGGCCAAAUUGGAAUCUUCCCCAACAGAUCGUACAGAGCUUGGGAUUAUCAAAGAAUUGUUAAGAAAAAUGGAUAAGGGCAACGAAAGAAACCUCAUUAUUAUUUGCUCUGUCAUGGGCAGUGGCCUCUUUUUAAUUAUUGUUUGUUUGAUAUGCCUGGUAGCCCAUAUUGCAGAACUAGAUGAGUGAGUAUUACUUUUAUCACUUUCAUUUGUUGCAGUUUCAACAGAUUUCAUCCGUUAACUUGGUACUGUUCUUUUCUUAUUUCCAGAGAACACACAAAAAUCAUUAAAGCUGAGGAAGGGCGAGUUCAGACAAAGAAAGCACCCCCCUCAUAGAGCUAAAUAUGAAUGACUAUGAAGAUUUUCAUUCAUCCAGGUCAUGGUUUAUCUAGUAUAAAUAAAUCUAA